AGUGAACGCUGGCGGUAGGCCUAACACAUGCAAGUCGAACGGCAGCACAGUAAGAGCUUGCUCUUACGGGUGGCGAGUGGCGGACGGGUGAGGAAUACAUCGGAAUCUACUUUUUCGUGGGGGAUAACGUAGGGAAACUUACGCUAAUACCGCAUACGACCUACGGGUGAAAGCAGGGGAUCUUCGGACCUUGCGCGAUUGAAUGAGCCGAUGUCGGAUUAGCUAGUUGGCGGGGUAAAGGCCCACCAAGGCAACGAUCCGUAGCUGGUCUGAGAGGAUGAUCAGCCACACUGGAACUGAGACACGGUCCAGACUCCUACGGGAGGCAGCAGUGGGGAAUAUUGGACAAUGGGCGCAAGCCUGAUCCAGCCAUACCGCGUGGGUGAAGAAGGCCUUCGGGUUGUAAAGCCCUUUUGUUGGGAAAGAAAAGCAGCAGGUUAAUACCACGCUGUUCUGACGGUACCCAAAGAAUAAGCACCGGCUAACUUCGUG
rnacentral:rRNA from 1 species